CUGGCACAUGAUGAUGAUGAUGUACCUAUCUGAUUGUGGAAAGGCCUGGGUCAUCAGACUUCAAUGCCACAGAUCUACCCCCCAGCAGACAACGUACCUGUCGGGUUUGGGAAUGUACAGCAAGUUUUCGUAGGCACACACUGAUCCACACAGGUUUUAAUGAAGGUUCUUUUGAAGAUCCUGACCCAGAAUUACAUGCUGACUAUGGUUCUUUGUGGGAAUGGGACCCACUCUCAGGGGUUUCAUGACUGGCCGUUGAAUCUGACUAAAUGAAACAAUUGGCAGCACCCAU